GACGAACGCUGGCGGCGUGCCUAAUACAUGCAAGUCGAACGCAGUGGGGACGGGUGAGUAACACGUGGGUAACCUCCCAUCAGAGGGGAUAACACUUGGACACAGGUGCUAAACCGAUACUGCUGGAUGGACCCGCGGUGCAUUAGAUAGUUGUGGAGGUAACGGCGCACUAAGGCCACGAUGCAGCGCCGGCCUGAGAGGUGUGUCGGCCACACUGGGACUGAGACACGGCCCAGACUCCUAUGUGAGGCAGCAGUAGGGAAUCUUCGGCAAUUGACGAAAUUCUGACCUAGCAACGCCGCGUGAGUGAAGAAGGUUUUCGGAUCGUAAACCUCUGUUGUUAGAGAAGCGGUAUCUAACCAGAAAGCCACGGCUAACUACGUGCCAGCAGCCGCGGUAAUAC
rnacentral:rRNA from 1 species